CAAAGGAGCUGUAAAAGGUCCAUCUUCAAAAACAAAUAAGAAAAAGUGACAUGGAGAUGGACCUUAUACAGCUUCAAAUGGAAGAGAAAAGGCUCCUCAUUAAAAAAGCAGCACUUGAAAUAGAAUUACUUGAGAAUCGCCUUAAGGAAAUGAAGAAAUAAACUGCCUGGCAGACCAGUGCAAAAAAAAACUAAUAAAAGUAAUUUUGACAAA